UCCCCCUCUCUCUACCUUUCACUCUGCCUUUCAUACAUACGCCAGAGAACAGACUGCAGCAGAACGCAGGACCAGAAGGAUUUUCCUCCUCAUACUGGAACUGUCGAUAAACCAGUGGGACCAAGGGACAGUUAGCCGGUGAGGAGGAGGAGAGACAUUAUUCGUAGAGGAUCCACCAAGGAGUACCUGGCAUUUAAGCUGCUGAAGUUUGAAUCUGGCUCUCAGAAGCAGUUGUGUGGACUCCUAGACAUAUCCAUCCCUCUUUCGGGGCUGCCCCACUCCCUCCAUACCGCCCCCUCAUCCUUACUUAAGGAUAGGAUGACAAGCUGUGCGCCCCUGUGCUGAGGAGGCGGGCAACAGUAUGGGCACUGUGCUGUCCGGCAUCCCCACCACCAUCCCCUCCGCCACCAAUCUGCCACCAUCACGCUGCCCCACCAAGACGGGCACUCCCCCAGGCCCCGCUGAUGGGCGAAGACACUGACUCCACCCCCACGCUCAACCACCGCGGCUUCCUCCCCGACCACAACUAUGUGACUGAAGGGCUGCUCCUGGCUAUAGCCUGAAGAGCUCCGCCCAUCCUGUCCACCCCUCUCCACCCUGGAGUCCUCCCCCAGGAUGUUGAGCCCCAUCCAGGUCCUGUGCUCCGACAUCACUACCCUUUCUCUGGAGCCUGAGCCUUUUGCCUCUUACACUGAAGCUGAUAUCAUCUCCACUGUUGAGUUCAACCACACAGGAGAGCUCCUGGCCACAGGAGACAAAGGGGGCCGUGUGGUCAUCUUUCAGAGGGAACCUGAGAGCAAAACUGAGCCCUUCUCCCAGGGAGAGUAUAAUGUCUACAGCACCUUUCAGAGCCAUGAGCCCGAAUUCGACUACCUUAAGAGUCUGGAGAUUGAGGAGAAGAUCAAUAAGAUCCGAUGGCUGCCUCAGCAGAACGCUGCACACUUCCUCCUGUCCACCAAUGAUAAGACCAUUAAGUUGUGGAAGGUGAGUGAAAGAGACAAACGGCCAGAAGGAUACAACCUGAAGGAUGAGGAGGGUCGAAUAAAGGACAUCUCCACAGUCACCUCUUUACAGGUGCCAGUGUUGAAGCCCAUGGACCUGAUGGUGGAGGUAACUCCUCGGCGAGUGUUUGCCAAUGCCCACACCUACCACAUCAACUCCAUCUCUGUCAACUCUGACUAUGAGACGUACAUGUCAGCGGAUGACCUGAGAAUCAACCUUUGGCAUCUGGACAUCACUGACCGCAGCUUCAACAUUGUGGACAUCAAGCCAGCCAACAUGGAGGAUCUGACGGAGGUGAUCACAGCAGCUGAGUUUCAUCCCUACCACUGUAACUUGUUUGUCUAUAGCAGCAGUAAAGGCACCCUGCGCCUCUGUGACAUGAGAGAAGCAGCGCUGUGCGACAAGCACUCCAAAUUGUUUGAGGAGCCCGAGGAUCCCAGCGCCCGCUCCUUCUUCUCUGAGAUUAUCUCCUCUGUGUCAGACGUCAAGUUCAGCCACAGCGGCCGCUACCUGCUCACCAGAGACUACCUGACUGCCAAAGUCUGGGAUCUCAACAUGGAGAGCAAGCCCCUCGAGACAUACCAGGUUCAUGAUUACCUCCGCAGCAAGUUGUGCUCUCUCUACGAGAACGACUGCAUCUUUGACAAGUUUGAGUGUGCCUGGAACGGCUCCGACAGUGUUAUCAUGACUGGAGCCUACAACAACUUCUUCCGCAUGUUUGACCGCAACACCAAACGCGACGUAACCCUGGAGGCGUCACGGGAGAGCAGCAAACCUAGAGCUGUGCUGAAGCCGCGGAGGGUCUGCGCCGCGGGAGGAAAACGUCGGAAGGACGAUAUCAGUGUGGACAGCCUGGACUUCACCAAGAAUGUACACAUUAUCAGACAUGCACACACGCACGCACACAUACUCUCACACAGCCAAGAGAUGCCUAAAACACAUACCUACACACACAAUCAGAACUCAUACACUCCAUUUCAUUCCCUCCUUAACCUCCUCCUCAGCCUUCCAGAACUGAAAGGACCUAGACAGGGCUAGGAAGGGAACAGGCUGGAUUACGCAACGGAUUAUGGAUCGCAAAAUUGUCCGAACAGUGAAUUUUGUGAUUGUUAGCUUUUGGAUUGAUGGUAAUUAAAGAGGACAGUGACAAGGUAAAAUGAUUAGUGUGAUGUCCAAGGAUGAACUUGGGACCCCCCCUCCUCCCUUUAGCCCGAGUGCACCAGACGCCUCUGAGCUCUCCCUGAUUCAGGAGAGACGACCAAAAACUGGGCUGUGUCCGGUGAGGUGAAACAUUUACAGUCCCGCAGAUAGAAGCAGAAGUUAUACCACCAUGGCCUAACAUGAGGACACACACUCAUAUAUAUGGUCCACAGUGUGUUUCAGUAAUUCAUGUUUUCUCUGCUGAAACAGGCCCAGACUUCUGUGAUUUCUGCUUCUGGUCUUGGGCUGCUUCGUGUGCUACUUUGACAUUAAAUAUGUUAAACUCAGAUCAAGCAAAAAUAAUUAAAAAAUAUAUAUAUAAAAUAAACAAUUUCAGCAAUUAAAUGAAAACAUGCUGCAUGUCAAACAGAUUUAGCCUAGGUGUUUAUAAAUUGACUCACUGACUGGCUUGGCUGCCUUCGUAACCAUUUUAGAUCCAGCUUGUACAAAGGCUUCAGGGGCCCUGGGGCCCCCUUGCAGCACGAGUAACCAUAGAUGACCGAGCUCUCCUACCUUUAUUUGUGUCUUUGGACACUGAAGCAUGUUUACCGGUGUUCGGUUCAUACACUUGACACGUACUUUUUGAAUGAAGCCGUCCACAAAAUCAGUUUCUACUCAGUGAAACUGCAAACCAAGAAGAAUGGGGAAUGUUUGUGAUUAACAUAAAAGAAAAAGAAAAAAAAAAAUGUAAGGGCCUAAAUGGUGUCUGUAUAUAUCAGCUCGGUUUUUUUGACAUGUAUGAGGUUUUGUUGUUUUUUUUUUUUUUAACAAUCAUAAAUGGACUGCAGACUUGAUCAUCUGUACUGAUGACUGCCUCCAAAGCUACAGCAAAGAGAUGGUACUUUACUCUCUUCGGCCUUCCUCACUGAUAACUUUGCUGAUGUGCAGAAGCUUUUAUUUUUUAGAAAACGGCAUAUUCUUUUAUUUGUCCUUUUUCUUUCGCUUUUCCUGUCUGUAAGUUGUAGCCUAUUCCACGUCCUUACCAGACUAAUUCACAUAUUUUUGUGUUAAUGUAUGUUGAUGACAAAAUUGUCAAACGGACAGUUAUAAAUAAUGUUAAUAUGUUUUUUCUGAAUAAAGAUUUCAACGAAAUUGCA